rnacentral:rRNA from 1 species
UAGGGAAAUAACCCAGACCGCCAGCUAAGGCCCCAAAUUCAUGGCUAAGUGGUGAACGAUGUGGGAAGGCAUAGACAGCCAGGAGGUUGGCUUAGAAGCAGCCAUCCUUUAAAGAAAGCGUAAUAGCUCACUGGUCUAGUCGGCCCGCGCGGAAGAUUUAACGGGGCUCAAGCCAUGAGCCGAAGCCGCGGAUCUGCACGUAAGUGCAGGUGGUAGGGGAGCGUUCUGUACGCCUGCGAAGGUGCACUGUGAGGUGUGCUGGAGGUAUCAGAAGUGCGAAUGCUGACAUGAGUAACGUUAAUGCGGGUGAAAAACCCGCACGCCGAAAACCCAAGGUUUCCUGCUCAACGUUAAUCGGAGCAGGGUGAGCCGGUUCCUAAGACGAGGCCGAAAGGCGUAGCCGAUGGAAAACAGGUCAACAUUCCUGUGCCCGGUGUGAUUGCGAUGGGGUGACGGAGAAGGCUAGUUCAGCAGGGGUUGGUUCCCUGUUUAAGCAUGUAGGAGGAGUUGCCAGGCAAAUCCGGCAGCUCUUAACUCCGAGGUGUGAUGACGAGGCUCCACGCGAGCCGAAGUGAAUAACGCCCCGCUUCCAGGAAAAGCCUCUAAGCUUCAGAUCACAUUGGACCGUACCGUAAACCGACACUGGUGGGUGAGCAGAUAAUCUGCCAAGGCGCUUGAGAGAACUCGGGUUAAGGAACUCUGCAAAUUGAUACCGUAACUUCGGAAGAAGGUAUGCCUUCGACGGUGUAGGGAUUUACUCCCGAAGCUGUUGAAGGUCGCAGGUAAUCGGUGGCUGCGACUGUUUAUCAAAAACACAGGACUCUGCGAACACGCAAGUGGAAGUAUAGGGUCUGACGCCUGCCCGGUGCCGGAAGGUUAAUUGAUGGGGUUAGCAGCAAGGCGAAGCUCUUGAUCGAAGCCCCGGUAAACGGCGGCCGUAACUAUAACGGUCCUAAGGUAGCGAAAUUCCUUGUCGGGUAAGUUCCGACCUGCACGAAUGUCGUAACGCUGGCCACACUGUCUCGACCCGAGACUCAGUGAAGUUGAAAUCGCUGUGAAGAUGCGGCGUUCCCGCGGCAAGACGGAAAGACCCCGUGAACCUUCACUACAGCUUUACACUGAACUUUGAACCUUUCUGUGUAGGAUAGGUGGGAGGCUAUGAAACUUGGGCGCUAGCUCGAGUGGAGCCAACCUUGAAAUACCACCCUGGGAUGUUUGAAGUUCUAACCUUGGUCCGUAAUCCGGAUUGGGGACAGUGUAUGGUGGGUAGUUUGACUGAA